ACAGCUAUAUCACUCUGAAACACAGUUUCUCGUAAGAUCACCGAAGUUAAGUAGCUUUGAGACUCUUCAGUACAUGGAUGGGUGACCGCUUGGAAAUAUCAGGUGCUGUAUG